CCUACGGGUGGCAGCAGUGAGGAAUAUUGGUCAAUGGGCGGAAUCCUGAACCAGCCAUGUCGCGUGCAGGACGACGGCCCUACGAGUUGUAAACUGCUUUUGUACCGGGGUAAAAUGCCUUACGUGUAGGGGUUUGAAAGUACGGUACGAAUAAGGAUCGGCUAACUCCGUGCCAGCAGCCGCGGUAAUACGGAGGAUCCGAGCGUUAUCCGGAUUUAUUGGGUUUAAAGGGUGCGUAGGGUGCUUUAUAAGGUCGCGGUGAAAUAUCGAGGCUCAACACCGGCGCGGCCGCUAAUACUGUAGGACUAGAGUUCGCGUGAAGCAGGCGGAAUGUGUGGUGUAGCGGUGAAAUGCAUAGAUAUUACGCAGAACCCCGAUUGCGAAGGCAGCUUGCUGGGGCGGAUCUGACGCUGAUGCACGAAAGCGUGGGUAUCGAACAGGAUUAGAUACCCCUGUAGUC
rnacentral:rRNA from 1 species